rnacentral:rRNA from 1 species
CCUACGGGAGGCAGCAGUGAGGAAUAUUGGUCAAUGGGCGCGAGCCUGAACCAGCCAAGUAGCGUGAAGGAUGACUGCCCUACGGGUUGUAAACUUCUUUUAUAUGGGAAUAAAAUGUUCCACGUGUGGGCUUUUGUAUGUACCAUAUGAAUAAGGAUCGGCUAACUCCGUGCCAGCAGCCGCGGUAAUACGGAGGAUCCGAGCGUUAUCCGGAUUUAUUGGGUUUAAAGGGAGCGUAGGUGGAUUGUUAAGUCAGUUGUGAAAGUUUGCGGCUCAACCGUAAAAUUGCAGUUGAAACUGGCAGUCUUGAGUACAGUAGAGGUGGGCGGAAUUCGUGGUGUAGCGGUGAAAUGCUUAGAUAUCAGGAGGAACAUCGGUGGCGUAAGCGCUUUACUGGGCCGUAAUUGACACUGAGGAACGAAAGCCGGGGUAGCAAAUGGGAUUAGAUACCCGGGUAGUC